rnacentral:rRNA from 1 species
UGAGGAAUAUUGCGCAAUGGGGGAAACCCUGACGCAGCAACGCCGUGUGAGUGAUGAAGGCCUUCGGGUUGUAAAGUCCGAUAAGCGGGGAAGAAUAAGCAACGGGUAAUAUUCGUUGUGAUGACGGUACCUGCCUAAAGCCCCGGCUAACUACGUGCCAGCAGCCGCGGUAAUACGUAUGGGGCUAGCGUUGUUCGGAAUUAUUGGGCGUAAAGGGCGUCUAGGCGGGGAAUUAAGUUAGGUGUGAAAUCCCUGGGCUCAACCCAGGAACUGCAUCUAAAACUGGUUCUCUUGAGUUCGGGAGAGGAGAGCGGAAUUCCCGGUGUAGCGGUGAAAUGCGUAGAUAUCGGGAAGAACACCAGUGGCGAAGGCGGCUCUCUGGCCUAGAACUGACGCUGAAGCGCGAAAGCGUGGGGAGCGAACG